UACGGGGGAGGCAAGCGUUGUUCGGAAUUACUGGGCGUAAAGGGCUCGUAGGCGGCCAACUAAGUCAUACGUGAAAUCCCCCGGCUUAACCGGGGAACUGCGUCUGAUACUGGAUGGCUUGAGUUUGGGAGAGGGAUGCGGAAUUCCAGGUGUAGCGGUGAAAUGCGUAGAUAUCUGGAGGAACACCGGUGGCGAAGGCGGCAUCCUGGACCAACACUGACGCUGAGUGAGCGAAAGCCAGGGGAGCAAACGGG
rnacentral:rRNA from 1 species